rnacentral:rRNA from 1 species
UACGGAGGGUGCAAGCGUUAUCCGGAUUCACUGGGUUUAAAGGGUGCGUAGGUGGAUUAGUAAGUCAGUGGUGAAAUCUCCGGGCUUAACCCGGAAACUGCCAUUGAUACUAUUAGUCUUGAAUACCGUGGAGGUCAGCGGAAUAUGUCAUGUAGCGGUGAAAUGCUUAGAUAUGACAUAGAACACCAAUUGCGAAGGCAGCUUACUACAUGAAGAUUGACGCUGAGGCACGAAAGCGUGGGGAGCAAACAGG